CGUACACUCCUACGGGAGGCAGCAGUGGGGAAUAUUGGACAAUGGGCGCAAGCCUGAUCCAGCCAUGCCGCGUGAGUGAUGAAGGCCCUAGGGUUGUAAAGCUCUUUCACCGGAGAAGAUAAUGACGGUAUCCGGAGAAGAAGCCCCGGCUAACUUCGUGCCAGCAGCCGCGGUAAUACGAAGGGGGCUAGCGUUGUUCGGAAUUACUGGGCGUAAAGCGCACGUAGGCGGAUCGAUCAGUCAGGGGUGAAAUCCCAGGGCUCAACCCUGGAACUGCCUUUGAUACUGUCGAUCUGGAGUAUGGAAGAGGUGAGUGGAAUUCCGAGUGUAGAGGUGAAAUUCGUAGAUAUUCGGAGGAACACCAGUGGCGAAGGCGGCUCACUGGUCCAUUACUGACGCUGAGGUGCGAAAGCGUGGGGAGCAAACAGGAUUAGAUACCCCAGUAGUCCC
rnacentral:rRNA from 1 species